CGGUUAAGUCCGCUAACGAGCGCAACCCUCGCGUAUGUUAUACGUGUCAUACGAGACUGCCGGUAAAAAGCCGGAGGAAGGUGAGGAUGAUGUCAAGUCAGCAUGACCUUUAUAUCCCAGGGCUACACACACGCUACAAUGGUCUGUACAAUGGGUAGCCAAGCCGCGAGGCGGAGCCAAUCCUGAAAGCAGGCCUCAGUUCAGAUUGCAGUCUGCAACUCGACUGCAUGAAGCCGGAGUUGCUAGUAACCGCAGGUCAGCAAUACUGCGGUGAAUACGGUUCCCGGGUCUU
rnacentral:rRNA from 1 species